GGCAGAUUACCCGAGCGGCCAAAGGGGGCUGACUGUAAAUCAGCUGGCAUUGCCUUCACUGGUUCGAAUCCAGUAUCUGCCACCA
rnacentral:tRNA from 1 species